rnacentral:lncRNA from 1 species
CUUAGUAGUAGUAGACUAAGAACAACUCUAAACAGAAUACAAGAAAGCCUUAUUGAUCUAGAAGUUUCAGCUGAUCCUACUGCCACACUCACAGCAGCAGAAGAAAGAAAGGAGAAGGUGCCAAGUCCACACCUCAGUCACCUAGUGGUUUUGACAUCUGGGGAUACGUUGUAUGGGUUGGCAGAAAGAGUGGUAGCCACGGAAUCCUUGGUAUUCUUGGCUGAACAGUUUGAGUUCCUUCAGCCACAUCUGGAUGCUGUGAUGCCUGCAGUCAAAAAGCCCUUUCUUCAGCAGUUCUAUUCUCAGGU